UUGGGCGUAAGAGCUCGUAGGCGGUUUGUCGCGUCUGCUGUGAAAUCCGGAGGCUCAACCUCCGGCCUGCAGUGGGUACGGGCAGACUAGAGUGCGGUAGGGGAGAUUGGAAUUCCUGGUGUAGCGGUGGAAUGCGCAGAUAUCAGGAGGAACACCGAUGGCGAAGGCAGAUCUCUGGGCCGUAACUGACGCUGAGGAGCGAAAGGGUGGGGAGCAAACAGGCUUAGAUACCCUGGUAGUCCACCCCGUAAACGUUGGGAACUAGUUGUGGGGUCCAUUCCACGGAUUCCGUGACGCAGCUAACGCAUUAAGUUCCCCGCCUGGGGAGUACGGCCGCAAGGCUAAAACUCAAAGGAAUUGACGGGGACCCGCACAAGCGGCGGAGCAUGCGGAUUAAUUCGAUGCAACGCGAAGAACCUUACCAAGGCUUGACAUAUACGAGAACGGGCCAGAAAUGGUCAACUCUUUGGACACUCGUAAACAGGUGGUGCAUGGUUGUCGUCAGCUCGUGUCGUGAGAUGUUGGGUUAAGUCCCGCAACGAGCGCAACCCUCGUUCUAUGUUGCCAGCACGUAAUGGUGGGAACUCAUGGGAUACUGCCGGGGUCAACUCGGAGGAAGGUGGGGAUGACGUCAAAUCAUCAUGCCCCUUAUGUCUUGGGCUUCACGCAUGCUACAAUGGCCGGUACAAAGGGCUGCAAUACCGCGAGGUGGAGCGAAUCCCAAAAAGCCGGUCCCAGUUCGGAUUGAGGUCUGCAACUCGACCUCAUGAAGUCGGAGUCGCUAGUAAUCGCAGAUCAGCAACGCUGCGGUGAAUACGUUCCCGGGUCUUGUACACACCGCCCGUCAAGUCAUGAAAGUCGGUAACACCUGAAGCCGGUGGCCUAACCCUUGUGGAGGGAGCCGUCGAAGUGGGAUCGGUAUU
rnacentral:rRNA from 2 species